rnacentral:rRNA from 1 species
UCAUUAGUGAUUCUUGGUCAUUUAGAGGAAGUAAAAUCGUAACAAGUUUUGCCAAAGAUCCUUCUUGAAGCCUUUCCCACGCAACGACUAUAAAACCCCCUGCGUGCAAGUCUAGAGAUAGGCAACGUCAUCCCCGUGCUGGAACGCGACCCCCGCCGGGGGGGCGCGGAUCAGCAGCCAGGCUUCGCUCCUGGUCCACAGGUUAGGUGGUGGUGGUCCCCAGCAUUCUCCUGCGGGAUCAAGAUAUAAUCGGUCUCCGUCCCCUCUGGUUGGAUGGUUGAGAGACGUUCCGUAGGUGAACCUGCGGAAGGAUCAUUAUCGAGUUAGGGUCCUCUGGGCCCCAUCUCCAACCCUUGCCUAUCUUACCGUGUUGCUUUGGCGGGCCCGUCCGUGACCGUCGGGGGCGUAUGUUCCCCGGCCCGCGCCCGCCAACGGCCCCCACAAAUUCGCUGAGACAGUGCUGUCUGAGUCGCAAAAUCAAUAGUUAAAACUUUCAACAACGGAUCUCUUGGUUCUGGCAUCGAUGAAGAACGCAGCGAAAUGCGAUAAGUAAUGCGAAUUGCAGAAUUCCGUGAGUCAUCGAAUCUUUGAACGCACAUUGCGCCCUUUGGUAUUCCGAAGGGCAUGCCUGUUCGAGCGUCAUUAUCAACCCUCAAGCCCGGCUUGCGGUUGGGUCUCACCGUGGGCAGCCACGGCGGAUCCGAAAGAUAAUGGCGGUGCCCGUGGGACCCUGGAUGCAAUGAGCUUUUCAGCACGCGUCCGCGGGGACCCCCGGCGCCGGCUCAACCAAUCUACCUUGCAGAUUGACCUCGGAUCAGGUAGGGAUACCCGCUGAAUUUAAGCAUAUCAAUAAGCGGAGGAA